UAUUCCCUGCGGCGUUCGAAGUCUGCUGGGUUACUUCUUGAGCCUAAUCCAAAACCCCGGGAACUUCCGGAUCAUCGAUGUGUGCAGGUCCGUCUCGAACGGAAAGCCUUAUUCGGGGUCCGCUGAUCCCACCUGAACCUCUGGUUCAAGGGCGAAAGCGGAUUACGGCGCAGGCGGGGAAUAC
rnacentral:other from 1 species